AGCGGCCGGGCCGGCUGCGCUCCCGAGGGCGUUCCUGGAGGGCCCUGGGAUGGACUCAGGGAUCCCCAGAGCCCCAGGGAACGGAAACACUAGCCCGGGGCACUUGCCCUGGAGUCUGAGUGACGCGCGUCGUUGGAGCGCGAAGGCGGUCUCCUUAGCCUCCGCCCGACACAGCGUCUCCAGGGGUUUUCCUCCUUUUCGCGCCUCUCCUUCCCUCUUCCCCACACCAUCUGAGAGCCUCAGAUGGUAAUCCUGCCGCCACCUCUCUCCCUUCGCCCGCCUGCCAUCGUCCCCAUGUGUGCGGAUAUGCGCUCCCGAAGCCGCCUGCCUGCCGCGUCUGCCUUGGGCAUCAGCCCCCGAGUGGGGAGUCGGCUCAGCUUGCCAUGAGGGAACCUUAGCUGUGCCAGUGAAAAGGGAGCCAGUUGACUCUUGACCUUCACAAGCAGACAAUACUGUCUACUACUUAUACUCCACAGUACUUCUGCAUUUGAAGAUUGUCUUCCUGAGACUAUAUCCAUGUGACUUGAUGGAAACUUGGAAAGCAACUUGAUCACAAAAGUAAUAAAUUCAAAGCCAAGUCCAAGGGUUAAAGUUGGAUACAAAAUGAGAAGUUUGGGGAGAUAAGGCUUGGGAGUUGAGAUCCUGCAUGGAAAACAAGAUGAAUUAACUUCCCAGGCUGCAUAAGUGUUCACGUUUUGUAUUGAAUUAUAGCAGAUUUGUUUCUUCUUUUGACCUCAAAAACUGUUUGGAAACCGUAGGGAAACUUCAUGGCAUCUUUUCCAUUUUGCUGAUGGUUGUCAGAAGGGAUAGCACCAGACCUUAACAGAGGUGGCUUCACCUUGCCUAGAGUAUCAAUAAUCUUAUCGCAGAUUCACCCCUGUUCUUUCUCCUUUAGACUCUGAGGGUCCCACUUCAUUGUCAAUUUCAUUUGCAGUCACAGGUUUAGCAUAACAGCUAACCUUAUUUUUAGUUGAUGAUCUGGAACCCUUCACCUGACUUACAGGCAAACUCUUGUGUAUUUUUUGUUAGAAAAUCUUCAUAUCACCAUUAGCAAAUGCUUUACUAGUUUGUUUACUUGGCCAUUAGCUGCUUCUCAAUAGGCCAGCUUGGGAGGCAUUUUCUUGGCAUUUUUGUUUUGCAUCUUGAGUUUUGGAGGUGAAUCACUGACAUUUUUAAUGGAUGCUGGAGGCAUUUUGUCAAAGGAUUCCUUUUUGGUUCCUUCAUCUUUGUCAUCUGCUUCAUCUUCAUAAGUAUUUCCUGAUAUUUCUGUAACUUUAGAAGCAUUUUCAUCUAUAUUGUCUUCUUCAUGGUUUCCUCAACUCUAUUUUUCCUUUCUAGUCCUUCCAGCAGGUUCUCUGUUGAUCCUCUCAUGUUCUGGGAGUAGCUUUUCUAUGAUUCUUCUGGACCUCACUUCUUGAGGGAAAACUUAGACAAAGGGGGUUAUUGAGACAAACCAUAAUCCCUGUCACUCAGUUGGUUUCAAGGCUGCAACUGCUACUUAUCUUCCUCUUCCAUACCAAUUUCAAGUUCUCCUCUCCUUCAGCAGUCACUUCCACAGAUCUUAGUGGUGUAACCGGGGUGUGACCCAAAUCCUCAUUCCUGAUGAGAAAUAUAUAUUUAUUGGCAAUUACACAUACCUCAUGUGAUUGUUGUACAUGUCCUUUCACAGUUACAAGUAAGUCUCAAAAGACUCCCAAGUGGGUCACCUAGGGGCCAUAUAUUUUUCUCCGCCCAUUGUAUAAAAGUAGCCCUUCUGCCUCCUGUUGAUCUAGGUCAGUUACCCCUGCCAAGAUGGGGAUUCCUAUUCCUGCCUGCUGGCACCUUACAAAGAGUCCAAAAUGCCCAAACAGUUGCCAUAGCUUGUAGUUCAGUGGGACCUUCCUUGUAUUUCCUGGCAAAAAUUCACCCCACUUUGGGGACCAGGACUUCUAAACCUUCAAAACCCAGAGUUGCAGGAACAGAAAGCACAAAGUUCCCCAAUGAGUCAUUUGGGUGGAUGGUAAGUAGGGCCACUUCUUCUUCCUCUGCCUUUUUCCUGGACCCAUGUAUUCUUCCUAUUAGGGACAGUGCCUUUAGAGCUCCCUGAUUUAGUAUAUAUACUGAUCUUGAAAAGUGGCACUCUGUUCUUGCAGAAUAUUGCCUCCAAAUCGGCACUCCAGCUGCACUUUCAGUAGGUUGCCCAGUGCUCUAUCAGGCUGGCUGCUCCAUAUGGUGCAGUAUGUGAUAAAACCAGUAGAUCCCUUAGUCAUUAGUUCAUAUUCAUACCACCUUUACUAUGAAAUGGAUCCCCUGUUUGGAUCCUGUGUUGAGUUGGAUACUACAGCUGUGGAUCAGGCCUUCUUUAAGCCUCUAGAUAGUGGUAUGGGCUGUGGCUCUGAAGCCAAGAAAGGCAAACCCAUACCCAGAAUAAAUAUGUAUCCCUGUAAGGAUAAACUGCUGGCCGCUCCAGAAUGGAAAGGGCACAGUGUUGUUGACUUGCCACCAAGUGGCUGGUUUAUCUUCUCAAGUAAUAGUGCCAUAUCAGGGACUCAGGGUUGGUCUCUGUUGCUGACAAAUUAGACCUUCAGAAACAAGUAGCUAUACUGGCCUUGGUAAGUGGGAAUUCAUGCUCUUGGGCUCAUGUGUAGCCUUCAUCUCUGCACUCACAGUAGGCAGACUUACAUGUUGCCUACAUGUGAACCAAAGCAGUAUUCCUAGGUAUGGAGUUCAUUGAUUCCAGAACCCAAAAAGGCCCACCAGACAUUGGGCUUCAUUAUAGUAGGAGAUGCAAGAUGCAGAAAUUUGCCUUUUAUUCUGGAGGGGAUGUCUCCACAGGCCACUGACUACUGGACCUUGAAAAAAUUUUACGGAAGUCACAAAUUCUUGAAUCUUAAGAG